UCGCUUCAACAGCAUUGAGUGUUUCCACCAGUGAAGGUCAUUCAUUUGCACAGGCUUACUUCACGUCCAGUUGCAAAGCCUGUAUCGGGGCUCCUCGAAAGCAUCAUGUCCCCAAGAAGGUUUUUUGUCGGUGGGAACUGGAAGAUGAAUGGUGACAAAAAGAGCUUAGGCGAUCUUAUCAACAUUCUGAAUACUGCCCAGCUCAAUCCCGACACCGAGGUGGUCUGUGGUGCCCCUGCUAUCUACCUUGACUUUGCCCGGUCGAAUCUGAGCUCUACGAUUGGGGUGGCUGCACAGAACUGCUACAAGGUUUCGAAGGGCGCCUUCACGGGGGAGAUCAGCCCUGCAAUGAUAAAAGACUGUGGGGUGGAGUGGGUGAUUCUGGGACACUCGGAGAGGCGACAUGUUUUUGGGGAGAGCGAUGAGCUGAUUGGUCAGAAGGUGGCUCACGCACUAGAGAGUGGCCUGGGUGUCAUCGCCUGCAUCGGUGAGAAGCUGGAUGAGAGAGAGGCUGGGAUCACCGAGAAGGUCGUGUUUGAACAGACCCAGGCCAUUGCAGACAACGUGAAAGACUGGAGCCAAGUUGUUCUGGCCUAUGAGCCGGUCUGGGCUAUUGGUACUGGCAAGACUGCCUCACCACAACAGGCCCAGGAGGUUCAUGAAAAACUGCGGCAUUGGCUGAAGGCCAACGUGUCAGAGGAAGUGGCCGCCUCUGUCAGAAUCAUCUACGGAGGUCAGUAGGGGACAUGCUGUGCUCUAGAGUUUCUAGUCUUGUCUUACAGGCUGCAGCAUUAUCCUCCGGCUGCGUCUGGUUAUUUACUACAGUGCGGUAUUGCUUCAUUCUAUCGCCUCUGCACUAUUCUUCAUUAACUCUUGGCCAAAGUUCAGAGGUAAGUUUGUGGUAAGAUAGUGCCUCUCCAACUGUGAGGGUUGUGUUUAAUUAGCCAGUAGUUGAUAUACCUUGGCUUUGAGAGGGGGCUGGAGGAAUUACUGUCAAUGGCGGUUGGUGAGUUGAAAAUUGGUGGUGCAUAAAACUUUACUUUAAACUAAUCAUUGGUCUCAAUCUGUUUUGAUUCAAUUUCCUUGAUUAACAGGCGUGCCAGUCUAAUCAAUUGGAAAGUUACGCACAGCUUCUUCACUUCGUGUUUGAGAGAUUAAAUGAUAAAUUCAAUUUAGAAAAAUCCAUUUUAAUUACACUUUUCAAAAAAAACAUACAGCACUCUGUUGCCUACCGCAUUAGAUUUCAGCAUAACAAACAAUAAGAACCUGCGCUUCAAGAUUAAGAUCUAUGCGUUGCAGUUCUUUGCCGUGAAUAUUCUCAGAGUGCGGAAAAGGAAGAGGUCUACAUGUAUCCACAAGUAACAUUCAUAAAAUGUGCUGUGUUGCAAUGAAAAUAAAAAUUAUUUUAUUACUAACUGAAUGGCCUCAUUUAGGAGAGCGCAGUUGUAAACUAAUUGUUGUAUUGAUAAUCAAGCAAAAUGACUGAAAAGAGGUUGAGACCAAUAAUCAGUUUAAGGGGAAGUUUUCUGUCCCACCAAUUUUCAGCUAACCAACUGCCACUGGCUAUAAGGUAUAUGUCAGAACUUAAUAUUAAACACAGUUGGUCUUUCAUUAAUUGAGAGACAACGCAAGUUCGAGGAUAGGCAUUGAUUACCAGAUACGUAGAAGAAAAAUAUCAACAUGGUCUCAUUUGUCACUGCCCUGCAUUUUAGUGAAGCUAGCAAAGAACCACAGAUGCUAGCAGUAUAUACUGUAGCGCAACUUUAAGGCUGUGAAAUCUGGAGGUGAGUAAUUAACAGCAGAGGAUUGUUGUAAACAGCCGUUCAUUUUGCAGGACUUGAAGAAUGCACCUCGAGGGUGGCACUUAUUUGAUUUUAACCAUGCCUGGCUCAAAUGCUGUUUGUGCACCACGUAAGAUGCACAUUUAUGAGUCGCUUUGGCUAAAAGUGUCUGCCAAAUGACUGAACUGUACAUUUAAAAUUGAGGGGUUGUUCUUACUGCAGCCAGUCAGCACCUGGCCUUGAAACCAUCUCACGUAGUCUGCGCUUAAUAACACAUCUCCCUGUAUCCAUCCAUCACAUGCUGAACUGUGGAGACAUCACACAUUUUACAGGUUGAAUAAAUGAAAAAAACAGAAAUAUUUUGAACGUCGACAGUUUUUUAAAAUUCACAGUAAAGCAGCACUGAUAAAACCUCUCGCUUCCCUCGUAAAACUAUCCAGCUGUGACCAGCUCUUCACCCAGUGUGAUAAUUUCAUGUUUCUUUUGACAGAUUUGUCGAUACUCUGGUACAUUAGUACAGAAAUUCGACUCUGCGGGUGCAAAACAACAGAGAAAUUAGCAUAAUAUAUUUUGACCAGUUAUUUAGAUAUAAAAUUAUGCAUAACUGUGGUGGAAGACCACUGUUGGUGGAAUGGAAUACAGUUCAUAAAUAAAGGUCAAAUCAAAACAGUUGACCAAGGCUGCCCAACCUUCUUCCUGGAGAUCUACCGUCCUGUAGGUUUUCAUUUCUACCAUAAUUUGGCACACCUGAUUCUACUAAUUAGCAGCUCAGUGAAAUUUCUGGCUCAGUGAUUCCCAACUUCGAUCCCCCUGUGUAGGCUGGUUUUUAUUCCAACCACAUUUGCAAUCCCUGAAUUUUAACAAGCUGUUAAUUUUUCUUAAUUGGGUGCUUUUCAUGUCGAGGGAUUGUUUACCCUCUUAAGCCACAUUAUGUCAGCAAUCGCUAAGCAUUCCACGAAGAAUAACAGUCAGAUGUUCAUGUUGUGCUUAUUAUGCUGCAUUGCAAACAAUCACAUAAAAGGAGGUAACAAAAUUAUUUAACUAAUCAAAAUAAAGACUGUAGUGAAACAGGCUCCUAACUGGUGAAAGUGUGGACACAUGCCCAUUAAAACGAACAAUUUGGUAGAUAACGUAGAAUUCAGACAAAGCAUAUGAUAAUGAGCCAAACAUGCAUUGUGUUAAAAAGUUCAAGUAAAAAUUAUGAACAAACUGAAACGUGUUGAACCACAUAAUUGAUUCACUUAAUUUAAUCACUCAACUUAACAAAAACGUUAUUGGUUUAAGUUUUGUUACCUUUUUUAUGUAACUGUUUGCAAAAUAACGCAGUAAACACCAUGUGAAAAUAGGAUUUUUAUUAUCCAUGACGCAUAGCUAUUUCUGGCAUAAUAUGGCUUAAGAGGGUAAAUAAUUCCUCUAAACAUGAAAAGCACCUAAUUAAGAUAAUUAAUGGCUUGUUAAAAUUCUGGGAUUGCAACUCGGGGUUUGAACAAAAACCUGAAUACAUAAGGGGUCGAGGUUGGGACCAGCUGCUAUCGCUGUUGAGUGAGGUAUGCUUUGUUUUGGUUGGAGUGAAAACCUGCAGGACAGUAAAUCUCCAGGAGCAGGGUUGGUCUUUUUCAGAUUCAACAAUGUGGAAAUCGUGAGAAGCAGCCAGAUACAUUUGAGGUUUCCAGUGAAUUGUUUCCACAUUUCUCAGUGAAAUGAGUGCUCAUCAGCUCUGUUUGAAAAC